GGCUCAGAUUGAACGCUGGCGGCAUGCCUUACACAUGCAAGUCGAACGGCAGCACGGGAGCAAUCCUGGUGGCGAGUGGCGAACGGGUGAGUAAUAUAUCGGAACGUGCCCAUGUCGUGGGGGAUAACGUAGCGAAAGCUACGCUAAUACCGCAUACGUCCUGAGGGAGAAAGCGGGGGGAUCUUUGGACCUCGCGCGAUUGGAGCGGCCGAUGUCGGAUUAGCUAGUAGGUGAGGUAAAGGCUCACCUAGGCGACGAUCCGUAGCGGGUCUGAGAGGAUGAUCCGCCACACUGGGACUGAGACACGGCCCAGACUCCUACGGGAGGCAGCAGUGGGGAAUUUUGGACAAUGGGGGCAACCCUGAUCCAGCCAUGCCGCGUGAGUGAAGAAGGCCUUCGGGUUGUAAAGCUCUUUCGGCCGGGAAGAAAUCGUGGUCUCUAACAUAGGCCAUGGAUGACGGUACCGGACUAAGAAGCACCGGCUAACUACGUG
rnacentral:rRNA from 1 species